rnacentral:rRNA from 1 species
CCUACGGGUGGCAGCAGUGAGGAAUAUUGGUCAAUGGACGAGAGUCUGAACCAGCCAAGUAGCGUGAAGGAUGACUGCCCUAUGGGUUGUAAACUUCUUUUAUAUGGGAAUAAAACAGGGUAUGCAUACCCUCUUGUAUGUACCAUAUGAAUAAGGAUCGGCUAACUCCGUGCCAGCAGCCGCGGUAAUACGGAGGAUCCGAGCGUUAUCCGGAUUUAUUGGGUUUAAAGGGAGCGUAGGUGGAUUGUUAAGUCAGUUGUGAAAGUUUGCGGCUCAACCGUAAAAUUGCAGUUGAAACUGGCAGUAUUGAGUACAGUAGAGGUGAGAGGAAUUCGGGGUGUAGCGGUGAAAUGCUUAGAUAGCACGAAGAACUCCGAUUGCGAAGGCAGUUCACUGGACUGCAACUGACACUGAGGCUCGAAAGGGUGGGUAUCAAACAGGAUUAGAUACCCCAGUAGUC